rnacentral:rRNA from 1 species
CAUCUUUAUUAGGUUUAUAGGGUACCUAGACCGAAAGCCAAGCCUUAAUCGGGACUAGUUUUCUAGAGUUUUAUGUGAGAAAGUUGAAUGAUCAGAGUAGAGUCAAAAUUCGCUAAUACUGAUAAGACGGAUAACGGCGAAGGCUGCUUUCUAUGUAAAAAACUGACGUUGAGGUACGAAGCCCAGGGUAGCAAGAAGGAUUAGAUACCCUAGUAGUCCUGGGAGAAAAUUAUGAGUGCCAUAGAUUAGAUAUAUGAUUAAUUUAUAAAUGAAAGUGUAAGCAUUCCACCUCAUGAGUAAAGCGGCAACGCCCAAAUUGAAAUCAUUAGACCGUUUCUGAAACCAGUAGUGAAGUAUGUUAUUUAAUUCGAUAAUCCGCGAAAAACCUUACCACACUUUGAAUAAUAUUCAAUUUUUACAAGCGCUGCACGGCUGUCUACAGUUGAUAUCGUGAGAUUUUGGUUAAUUCCUUUAAUUAACGAAAACCCUUGUUUUAUUUUUUCAAAUAAAGCUGUUCUCCGUCUAGAUGGGAUAUGCUAAAAGGGAGCAAGACAAGUCAUUAUGGCCUUAUA